UACGUAGGGAGCAAGCGUUGUCCGGAAUCAUUGGGCGUAAAGCGCGCGUAGGCGGCCCCGUAAGUCCGCUGUGAAAGUCAAAGGCUCAACCUUUGAAAGCCGGUGGAUACUGUGGGGCUAGAGUACGGAAGAGGCGAGUGGAAUUCCUGGUGUAGCGGUGGAAUGCGCAGAUAUCAGGAGGAACACCAAUAGCGAAGGCAGCUCGCUGGGACGUUA
rnacentral:rRNA from 1 species